UUGCUUUGGCAGCAUAUAUAGUAAAAUUGGAAUGGUAUAGAGGAGGUGCAGAGGUAUGGCUUCUGCAAAAGAAAGGUACACCAUUUUGUGAAGUGUUCGAUAUUUUG
rnacentral:snRNA from 1 species